AAGGAAUGGUGAGGGCACUUUCUAAGCAUCUCCUUGAAUCUUUUCCAACUCUCAUAAAUAAAUUCUCCAUUAAUAAAAGUAAAUUAAGUAAUAUAUUUAUAAGUCU